UCCUUACUAGAUGGCUGACUUUUGUAGUCAAGCGUCCUGACAUGAUUCCAAAUUGAUUCUAAAAAAUAAACACAAUCCAUUUUAACACACAAUCCUUUUUAACCUCAACUCUACAAUCGUAUCUCAAAUAUUCAUACUGUGACAUAACAACUUGAUACUCCUAUAGGUGUUGCAAUCCUGAAUGUCAUCUUUGUUCUUAUACAAUAGACUCAUCGUACUCCAUUAUCUUCAAGAUUCAAACAUCUUCACCGACCUAAAAAUGUUGUUAAACAAUCUAGUCAACCACUCCAUACCUG
rnacentral:lncRNA from 1 species